rnacentral:rRNA from 1 species
AGAGUUUGAUCCUGGCUCAGGACGAACGCUGGCGGCGUGCCUAACACAUGCAAGUCGAACGGAGAAUUUUAUUUCGGUAGAAUUCUUAGUGGCGAACGGGUGAGUAACGCGUAGGCAACCUGCCCUUUAGACGGGGACAACAUUCCGAAAGGAGUGCUAAUACCGGAUGUGAUCAUCUUGCCGCAUGGCAGGAUGAAGAAAGAUGGCCUCUACAAGUAAGCUAUCGCUAAAGGAUGGGCCUGCGUCUGAUUAGCUAGUUGGUAGUGUAACGGACUACCAAGGCGAUGAUCAGUAGCCGGUCUGAGAGGAUGAACGGCCACAUUGGGACUGAGACACGGCCCAAACUCCUACGGGAGGCAGCAGUGGGGAAUCUUCCGCAAUGGACGAAAGUCUGACGGAGCAACGCCGCGUGAGUGAUGAAGGAUUUCGGUCUGUAAAGCUCUGUUGUUUAUGACGAACGUGCAGUGUGUGAACAAUGCAUUGCAAUGACGGUAGUAAACGAGGAAGCCACGGCUAACUACGUGCCAGCAGCCGCGGUAAUACGUAGGUGGCGAGCGUUGUCCGGAAUUAUUGGGCGUAAAGAGCAUGUAGGCGGCUUAAUAAGUCGAGCGUGAAAAUGCGGGGCUCAACCCCGUAUGGCGCUGGAAACUGUUAGGCUUGAGUGCAGGAGAGGAAAGGGGAAUUCCCAGUGUAGCGGUGAAAUGCGUAGAUAUUGGGAGGAACACCAGUGGCGAAGGCGCCUUUCUGGACUGUGUCUGACGCUGAGAUGCGAAAGCCAGGGUAGCGAACGGGAUUAGAUACCCCGGUAGUCCUGGCCGUAAACGAUGGGUACUAGGUGUAGGAGGUAUCGACCCCUUCUGUGCCGGAGUUAACGCAAUAAGUACCCCGCCUGGGGAGUACGGCCGCAAGGUUGAAACUCAAAGGAAUUGACGGGGGCCCGCACAAGCGGUGGAGUAUGUGGUUUAAUUCGAAGCAACGCGAAGAACCUUACCAGGGCUUGACAUCCCACUAACGAAGCAGAGAUGCAUUAGGUGCCCUUCGGGGAAAGUGGAGACAGGUGGUGCAUGGUUGUCGUCAGCUCGUGUCGUGAGAUGUUGGGUUAA